rnacentral:rRNA from 1 species
AGAGUUUGAUCAUGGCUCAGGACGAACGCUGGCGGCGUGCUUAACACAUGCAAGUCGAACGAUGAAGCUAGAGCUUGCUCUGGUGAAUUAGUGGCGAACGGGUGAGUAACACGUGAGUAACCUGCCCCAAACUCUGGGAUAACUGCUGGAAACGGUAGCUAAUACUGGAUAUGACCAACGAAGGCAUCUUCUGUUGGUGGAAAGAACUUCGGUUUGGGAUGGACUCGCGGCCUAUCAGCUUGUUGGUGAGGUAAUGGCUCACCAAGGCGACGACGGGUAGCCGGCCUGAGAGGGUGACCGGCCACACUGGGACUGAGACACGGCCCAGACUCCUACGGGAGGCAGCAGUGGGGAAUAUUGCACAAUGGGCGCAAGCCUGAUGCAGCAACGCCGCGUGAGGGACGACGGCCUUCGGGUUGUAAACCUCUUUUAGUAGGGAAGAAGCGAAAGUGACGGUACCUGCAGAAAAAGCACCGGCUAACUACGUGCCAGCAGCCGCGGUAAUACGUAGGGUGCAAGCGUUGUCCGGAAUUAUUGGGCGUAAAGAGCUCGUAGGCGGCUUGUCGCGUCUGCUGUGAAAACCCGAGGCUCAACCUCGGGCCUGCAGUGGGUACGGGCAGGCUAGAGUGCGGUAGGGGAGAUUGGAAUUCCUGGUGUAGCGGUGGAAUGCGCAGAUAUCAGGAGGAACACCGAUGGCGAAGGCAGAUCUCUGGGCCGUAACUGACGCUGAGGAGCGAAAGCAUGGGGAGCGAACAGGAUUAGAUACCCUGGUAGUCCAUGCCGUAAACGUUGGGAACUAGAUGUAGGGUCCAUUCCACGGAUUCUGUGUCGUAGCUAACGCAUUAAGUUCCCCGCCUGGGGAGUACGGCCGCAAGGCUAAAACUCAAAGGAAUUGACGGGGGCUCACACAAGCGGUGGAGCAUGUGGCUUAAUUCGAGGCUACGCGAAGAACCUUAUCCUAGACUUGACAUGGUGGAAGUAGCGAGGCGGAAACGUUUUGCGGCCGGUAUCCAAUCCGGAGACCAUCACAGGUGCUGCAUGGCUGUCGUCAGCUCGUGUCGUGAGAUGUCGGGUUAAGUCCCAUAACGAGCGAAACCCUUGCCUUCAGUUGCCAGCGAGUAAUGUCGGGGACUCUGGAGGGACUGCCGGUGUUAAACCGGAGGAAGGUGGGGAUGACGUCAAGUCCUCAUGGCCUUUACGUCUAGGGCUGCACACGUGCUACAAUGGCGCAUACAGAGGGAAGCAAACCCGCGAGGGGGAGCCAAUCUCAAAAAGUGCGCCCCAGUUCAGAUUGAAGGCUGCAACUCGCCUUCAUGAAGUUGGAAUCGCUAGUAAUCGCGGGUCAGCAACACCGCGGUGAAUGUGUUCCUGAGCCUUGUACACACCGCCCGUCAAGCCACGAAAGGGGAGGGGGGCCGAAGUCGCCUCACCAAGCAGGUGCCGAAGCUCACCUCCCUGAUUGGGACUAAGUCGUAACAAGGUAACCGUAGGGGAACCUGUGGCUGGAUCACCUCCUU